GCUUGCGCAACAACUUCCACCUGGCUUACCUCUUCAGUUUUCUGCCAAGGCUCUAGUGUCUUGGUGGAUUGUGGGUUUCCUGUGUUGCCUACCUAAGCAAUGGCAUUGUGUUGGUUGAUUGUGGUCCCUUUUCUUCUAGUGUCGUACCCAUGACACUUGAUGAACCUUGAAGCGGUUUCUUUGGUCCACCUUGUUAACGAAUAUGUUGAUCUUGUGGUACAUUGACCAUCGCUUGGCUGCAUGGAUACAGAAAAUGAUGUGAGCAUGGGGUUUCAUUGGGUCCUUGUUUCGCUUCCACUCGGCAUGUGCGCUACCCUUAAAAGGAUUGCCUCGCCCAGAAUGGCAUGUUCCCCUGGGGUGGUAUGAUUUUGGGAAACACUCCCUGUUUGAUGCGUGCAUGGUGCUCAUGUGAUCCUUGUUUUGCUCUCAUUUAGCGUCCGCGCUUCUCUUGAAAUGACGGCCUCACUUGCCCAGGCUUGUACUUGCGGUUGAGGCCUUGUCAAAGAGGAAUGC
rnacentral:misc_RNA from 1 species